CUUCUUCUUCUCUCCCUCCCUCCCCCUCCUUCUUCUUCUCUCCCUCCCUCCCUCCUCUUCUCACCCUCCCUGUCUCUCUCCUUUCCUCCCUCCCUCUUCUCUCCCUUUCUCCCUCCCUCUGUGCCUCCCCUCUCUGUAUGUGGGUGUGCCUCUUGCCCCUAGCACCCAUGCUUACUCUGGUCCACAUCUGUCUCCAUCUACAAGGCUAUUUCUUCCAUCCCCAUGACAGACUCUGCUUUCUAAGCACUGGCCAUCCCAUGUUUCUUAAGGCGAGAGACGAGCCCCUCUUUCAAUACCAAUUUCAAAUAUCCAGUCCAGAGAAUCCAUCUGGCCCAGUUUCAAUCAGCAAAAUAAAUAAGACAUCAAAGGAAAAUGGAACAUAAAAUGGAGGAGCAGCGAUGGAGGAAGAGGACGGGGAUUUUGAGCUAAUCAGAAAAUACAAUCAGGAAGAUUAUAUUUCGAUGUGUUUACUUUCCAAAGAGAAUAAAU
rnacentral:lncRNA from 1 species